rnacentral:lncRNA from 1 species
AUGUUGCCUACAGUCAUGACAUUUCUGUCGCUUCCACUUGGCUUGGCUGAUAACCAUGUGUAUGCGGUGAUUUUGCGGUAUAAUUCGGCGACAGAAUUUCACUAUUCGGCACCCAAUGAAAUCUUAUCCAUCACAGCCAUGCAUGUCGAGCAAAACGGGUCUGAAUGGUCGGGGGAGAAGUCAGGCGCACUUGCCCACAGCAAACGGGCAGAGUACACCGAGCACGGGCUUAUAAUGAAUCAAAUCAAAGCAGCGUGGAAUGAUCAUGUUUCAGAGGACAGUGAAAUGUGUUUGCACACGUGGUUUGUCGGUGCAAAGAUUGUUUGGUUUACGUAUGGAGCAGCAGCACUUAGGGCAAACAUUGAUGCAGUUGUUUUUUCUUUCUUUUUUUGUUUAGAUAAUAUGGGUAGAUCUUUGGAAAGGGCUGUGUUCUCUAAAGCAGUACAGUUGUCAAUGUCAGCUGACUGUUUAUAUGCACAUAAACAUUCUGCUUAAGAUUGGAAUAUGAUUGUAUUUUGAUUAUAUGUGCGUCAUAUUAGCAUGUUAAUCUGAUUGCAAGAAAUAAGAUUUUGUUUACAAGAAAUCUGAAUUAGAUUGCUGGUAUGUUCUUGUAUUAAUCACAAUUCUGGGUGAUGUAAACACCUUAUUUGCAAUAUCCAUAUUAUUUAUAUCCAUGCAAAUGUCAUUAUGCAUUGUGCAGUGUGAUACAGGCAGUUAUUGAAAGUCAAAGAUUUGGAGCAAGGAGAAUUUCCCUCCGAACAUGAAAAGAAAUUGCAGUUCAUUGCAACAGUAAUGGGUUGAAUAAAUUAAAACAGAAAAAUGAAUAUAAAAAUGUACAUGGAUAUUUUUUUUCUUCACUCAAAUUAUAGGAUUAACCAGAAUAUGCACUUUAAUCAGAAAAUGGAUAGGUUCUGGUUGGGUUGUGUCUUUUUAUGCAAUUGUGAGUGGCGGGGAUUUUCUGAUGUUCAUAUUCUGUGCAUUUCAUUGACACAUGUGGUUCUUGGAGUACCGGUAUAAAAAAUCUUACUCAAAUUAUAGGAUUUAACCAGAAUAUGCACUUUAAUCAGUAAAAUGGAUAGGGUUCUGGUUGGGUUGUGUCUUUUUAUGCAAUUGUGAGUGGCGGGGAUUUUCUGAUGUUCAUAUUCUGUGCAUUUUCAUUGACACAUGUGGUUCUUGGAGACCGGUAUAAAUAAAUCUUGUGUGAAGAGAGGUAUUUGAGAUCAUGUGUGCAUCUCUUAGAUGACUUAAAUGGCUCUCUCAGGUGUUGAAUGUGAACAUUUGGUCAAUAUCAUCAUGACUGAUGAAUUUCAUUUCACUAUUGUCAUGGAUGAUUUCACCUCAGAGUUGCUUGUGCAUGAGCCGUGCUUCCUUGAGACUGUGUAAAAGCAUUUACAUCCUUCGUCUGUUUGGAAUGCAAACAUAAAAGCGUAUUUUAGACAAGGUUGUUUAAAGCCACUCGCAGUCAAACAACAAAACAUAUAUGUGGCUGCCACAGUGUGAGUCAGUACGGUUCAAACAGGUGUACUGUAUAUUCACUUUUAAUGCCAAGUAUUUAGACUUUAUUGGAAUGCUGUUGAAUGCUGCAGAUCCACAUGCAAAAGCAAAUUUUGCAUGGCAUUAGUGCCAUCUUCGGCACACUGGCACUUGUGAUCUGGUGCCCUGCUGCCUGGCAAUGUGGCAUGUAAUUGGGUUUGAGGGGAUAUUGCAGAAAGCUGUGGAUGAUGCUGUGUCCUUGGAUCGGUGCAGAAUUGCUAUGGCUUGCAAACCUCCUCCACCUCCUCCUCUGUUGUCUUUGUAUUGAACGGGUAGGGAGAUCUAGGGCAUGGAGGGUAAAGCUUUGUAUGUCUCUUAGAUGCUGCUUCUCUUGUGUGCUGCAGGACUGCAGUUGUUGGAACAAAUAGGUUUACGUUUUUAUCACUCUUUCCAUAAUUCAAUUUAAGGACAUCUAGCUGUAUUUAAUGCUUGGGUCUUGAGCGUACAGGUCUGCUUGUCCAUGCACCUAGGCAAUGCAUCCAUCUUAAUAUUUGGUAAAGAUGCAAUUCAUCAUCUGAGAUAAUAAGAUCAUUUAAACAGAUUUCAGGACUUGGUGAUGGAUUGAAUUAGAGUAUUUAAUUUAUAAUAGCAGUCAGAAGUACCUGAAAUAUAAUGUAUGAGCAGGUUUGAAUGAUGCAGCACAAGUCAGAUCUUCUUGUAGUGUCUGCCUCUACAUAUUGAUUAUAUGCUUCUCAUUUUACAGAGAUACUAAAAAAGGACAUUUAUCAAGCAUUUUAUGCUGCCUUCAGGUUAUCGAGAAUUUAGUAAAGGUGUCUUCUCGCUGCAAACUUGAGAUACAAUUUUAAUCCCCGAGAAAACGCAUAACCUUUCACCAAAACAGAGAAGAUAAUUUCAUAAUUGUUCUAAUUACAACCACCUUGUUAGCUUUUGCACAUUCAGUUAUAUAUAUUUAUUUAUAUCUGUAACCAUUUAUUGCAUAUUUUUUGUAUUGUGUUUAUAUUGAACAUCAGCACCGUCUCUGUCAGUGUGGAAGAAAUAUUCUCUCUGAAGGUUGGUUUCAUAAUUAGACCACUUGAUUUUUCUCUUUUGCACUGAUUUAGUUUUUUUUUUUUUUUCUUGUAUCGUGUCUUUGCUAAAAUGUGGCAGCUGUUUUUUUUUCUAGCAAUUGAAAGACUCCAGUGCUGUUAUUUGCAAUAUGUCACAAUAAAACUCUGCUUGCCUUCCAGCAUUUGGAGCUGAAUGUCCAUAUGUGUUGCAUUAAACAAAUGAGUCAGUAAUCAAGAUCGUUAAAACACAAAGCAAAAACGGGAUGGUGACAUGUAACAUUGUUUCAUUAUCUCUCUUAGUUCUGAAUGGGGAAUGGCCUGUAGUCAUUCAAUAAAGCACAGUCUUGUUUUGCUGUCUGAUCUGUUUUGAAGCAGCUGAACCGCUAGAACAACAGAUUAAUGUCAGUUCCGCACCUGAAGCCGAAUGAUGAUAUUUGCCUCUUGAAAUCGGUAAUUGUGGAUUUUUAUAGAAGUGUGUGGGGAGGAGUUGUGCAUUCAUACGUGCUUAUCAAUGCCUCACCAUUAUUUCAUGCUUGUGAUUUCCUCUGGCUAGAAUGAGGAAGCAAAAUGCAGUGCUUCCCACAGGUUUGAAUUAUACUUGCGGUGGUAGACGGGUGGAAAAUCCUUCUAUUACCCAUGGCACAAAAAUGGUUUACUAGAUGUGACAAAUAACAAGUAAUGUGUGAUUUUUAACUAUAUAUUUUUUUAUUUUUGAAAUUUAUUUUAAUAACAUAUUAUGUAAAUACUGUAAAUUAUGCUAAUUGACAGCAUUUAAAUGGUAGAGUUAUCAUUGCUUUGUCAUAUAGUGUCUCUCUCAAUGAAUGGGACACAUAGUAAAAUCUAUAUAUUGAGUAAUAUGUCAAAUAAUGUUCUUUCACUUUUCUUCCUGUGGGGAAGAAUUCCAGCCAGAAACUACAGUAGUGUACUAUGAAUUAAAUGGAAAUUAAAUUAAAUGCAAUUUAUUGUGUAACCAAAAUCCCACUAAUGCCCCCCCCCAAAAAAAAGUAACAUGUGACUUUUAAUUAUAAAGAAGCCUGAAAUACAGCGUGACUCUUAUUUUGAAAUAUCUAUAUUAUUGCGGGUUGAUCCUUCAGAUCUAUGCAACUAUGCAUUCUUACAACCUUUAAAAACAUUAUAUAAAGGUCAAAAAGUAGACAUUAUUGUCAUAAUUCAUCAACUCAAGUUCACAGUGGCAUAAAUGUGCUCUAUUCAUCGAUUGAGAAUAAUUUUGAAGCAGUCUGAAAAACGCUGUUUCGCGAGCCUGUAGAAUGCACAACAGCGCCUCCCCGCUCUUUUUUUAAAAUUAAAUCAUAGCCUUUUGAAAUUUAAUAAUCAAUAGGCUGUAUCGCAAUUUAUGUUUUUCCAUCCCCAAAAUAUAAGCCGUCUUAAAAUUAUCUUUAAGAUGUUCGUUUUACCAUUUCAUGUAUUGAAGACUUUUUAUGACAUUAAAUAAAACUCACCGGAGGGAUUUUGCUUUAUUCACACACAUGCUCCUAAAUACAUUUUACAGUUGGACACAUCUAUUUUUAGUCAUAAAUGGGACUGAAGUGUCCACUCUGUCGAGCCCUGUCUGUGAAAUAUCCAGCGUGUCACUGCAGUGCACAGAGGAAUGUCAGCAGAAGUAAACAGUAGGCUACUUGCGCACACAGAACGAGCAGAUACAAAACGUGUAGGGCAAGGGGAGAUUUUCUGGUAGAUAAUUGAUCACGGAUGGCUUCAUUAUUUCAGGCGAAAAAAAAAACGUAUAGCAUACAUUAUACGAAGUUAUACGAGCUGACUGUUUAUAUGCACAUAAACAUUCUGCUUAAGAUUGGAAUAUGAUUGUAUUUUGAUUAUAUGUGCGUCAUAUUAGCAUGUUAAUCUGAUUGCAAGAAAUAAGAUUUUGUUUACAAGAAAUCUGAAUUAGAUUGCUGGUAUGUUCUUGUAUUAAUCACAAUUCUGGGUGAUGUAAACACCUUAUUUGCAAUAUCCAUAUUAUUU